rnacentral:lncRNA from 1 species
CUGAGACCUCCCAGGCACAUACAUUCAUAUCUCAGAGUUAAAAUUUAAUUUGUUUUGGCUAAACAGCCUCUAAAUCUUUUCUUCCUCCAGAUGGUAGGGUUUGUGUAAUUAAGCAUUUGGAAAUGUUGGCAUAAAUAACCACGCCCCUUUUGGAGUACUUUCAAAACAAAUACAGGGUAAAUGUGGAUAGGGUGAUCCAGAGUCAUUGUUCUUCUGGGAAAGGGUAGAUUUUUUUGUUUGUUUGUUUGUUUUGUUUGCUCCUUUAACAUGUAAAAACCCAGGCAGGUCUCCAUGGUAGUUUCAGUCAAGCUUAGCACUGGUGUUCAUGAAGGACGCUCACAUUAUCUUCUAUGCAGCAAUGGCAAUCUUUAGCAAAGGUUGCCCUUAGAAGAGGAGUGUGCCAGGGGAAAGUCAUCAACAUAAAGAGUGGGAGGAAGAAAUCUGGUAACUGAGUUUUACAGAUCAUUCAGCUUCACAUAUUUAUAAGUACUGGCAGUCUCUUAGGAAUUCUACUCACA